rnacentral:rRNA from 1 species
UGGCAGGUCAGCAUACUGCCGUGAAUACGUUCCCGGGCCUUGUACACACCGCCCGUCACACCAUGAGAGUUGGGAAUACCCGAAGCCUGUGAGCUAACAUUUAUGAGGCAGCAGUCGAAGGUAGAAUCAAUGAUUGGGGUGAAGUCGUAACAAGGUACC